ACGGCUCAGUAACACGUGGACAACCUACCCUAAGGAGGGGGAUAACCCCGGGAAACUGGGGAUAAUACCCCAUAGACUAGAGAAGCUGGAAUGCUCUCAAGUCCAAAGGUCCGCCGCCUUAGGAUGGGUCUGCGGUCGAUUAGGUUGUUGUUGGGGUAACGGCCCAACAAGCCCGUGAUCGAUACGGGUUGUGAGAGCAAGAGCCCGGAGAUGGAUUCUGAGACACGAAUCCAGGCCCUACGGGGCGCAGCAGGCGCGAAAACUUUACAAUGCGGGAAACCGUGAUAAGGGAACCCCGAGUGCCCGUAAAUUCGGGCUGUCCAUCAGCGUAAAUAACUGGUGAAGAAAGGGCCGGGCAAGACCGGUGCCAGCCGCCGCGGUAAUACCGGCGGCUCGAGUGGUGGCCACUAUUAUUGGGCUUAAAGCGUCCGUAGCUUGGUUGUUAAGUCUCUUGGGAAAUCUACCGGCUCAACCGGUAGGCGUUCAGGAGAUACUGGCAAUCUAGGGACCGGGAGAGGUGAGAGGUACUCCAGGGGUAGGAGUGAAAUCCUGUAAUCCUUGGGGGACCACCUGUGGCGAAGGCGUCUCACUAGAACGGCUCCGACAGUGAGGGACGAAAGCUGGGGGAGCAAACCGGAUUAGAUACCCGGGUAGUCCCAGCUGUAAACGAUGCGCGUUAGGUGUAUCGGUGACCACGAGUCACCGAGGUGCCGAAGGGAAACCGUGAAGCGUGCCGCCUGGGAAGUACGGUCGCAAGGCUGAAACUUAAAGGAAUUGGCGGGGGAGCAC
rnacentral:rRNA from 1 species